GGAGAGCCGAGUCCUGGCUGAGCUCACCACGGGCAUGUUCUGCUGGGUCUGUUUACUGCAUGGAGACUGGAAGCCCAAAUGCAGGUCCAAGAGAAAAGGAGAGAGAGAGAAAAGAAGCAGGAGGACAAGUAACACAUUGUGGUUUAACUGUCAGGUAUGGAGUUGGUAGUUCUGCACCAAAACCUAAGCAGAAGACAUGUCAAGGCUACACUGGGCAGAGGGGAGAACAGAAGUGGAAAUGUGAGAUCCUUCCAGGGCACAUAAACGCAUAGAGAAGUUUAAUGGCAAGCGUCGCAGAGUUGAGUCUGAUGCAGCUCUCUCCUGCGCAGGAGACCUUUUCUGGUCAGUGGUCAUAUUUUCUUAAAUUGCAUUUUAGGUUUUGGGGUACAUGUGAAGAACAUGCAAGAUUGUUGCAUAGAUACACACAUGGCAGUGUGAUUUGCUGCCUUCCUCCCCAUCACCUAUAUCUGGCAUUUCUCCCCAUGCUCUCUCUCCCCAACUCCCCGCCCCACACUGUCCCUCCCCUAUUUCCCCCCAACAGACCCCAAUGUGUGAUGCUCCCCUCCCUGUGUCCAUAUCUUCUCAUUGUUCACCACCACCUAUGAGUGAGAACAUACAGUGUUUGAUUUUCUGUUCUUGUGUCAGUUUGCUGAGAAUGAUGUUCUCCAGGUUCAUCCAUGUCCCUACAAAGGACGUGAACUCAUCAUUUUUGAUUGCUGCAUAAUAUUCCAUGGUGUAUAUGUGCCACAUUUUCCAAGUCCAGUCUAUCAUCAAUGGGCAUUUGGGUUGGUUCCAGGUCUUUGCUAUUGUAAAUAGUGCUGCAAUGAACAUUCGUGUGCAUGUGUCCUUAUAAUAGAACGAUUUAUAGUCCUUUGGAUAUAUACCCAGUAAUGGGAUUGCUGGGUCAAAUGGAAUUUCUAUUUCUAGGUCCUUGAGGAAUCGCCACACUGUGUGCCACAAUGGUUGAACUAAUUUACAUUCCCACCAACGUGUAAAAGUGUUACUAUUUCUCCACAUCCUCUCCAGCAUCUGUUGUCUCCCGAUUUUUUAAUAAUCGCCAUUCUAACUGGCGUGAGAUGAUAUCUCAAUGUAGUUUUGAUUCACAUUUCUCUAAUGACCAGUGAUGAUGAACAUCUUUUCAUGAUUGUUGACCCCAUGUAUAUCUUCUUUUGUAAAGUGCCUGUUCAUAUCCUUCACCAACUUUUGAAUGGGGUUAUUUUUUUCUUGUAAACCUGUUUUAGUUCUUUGUAGAUUCUGGAUAUCAGCCCUUUGUCUGAUGUGUAGACUGCAAAACUUUUUUCCCAUUCUGUUGGUUGCCAAUCCACUCUUAUGACUGUUUCUUUUGCUGUGCAGAAGCUGAGGAGUUUGAUUAGGUCCUAUUUGUCUAUUUUGGCUUCUGUUGCCAAUGCUUUUGGUGUUUUGGUCAUGAAGUCCUUGCAUAUGCCUAUGCCCUGAAUGGUUUUGCCUAGAUAUUCCUCUAGGGUUUUUAUGGUGUUAGGUCUUAUUUUUAAGUCUUUAAUCCAUCUGGAGUUAAUUUUAGUGUAAGGUGUCAGGAAGGGGUCCAGUUUCUGCUUUCUGCACAUGGCUAGCCAGUUUUUCCAACACCAUUUAUUAAACAGGGAAUCCUUUCCCCAUUGCUUGUUUUUGUCAGGUUUGUCAAAGAUCAGGUGGUUGUAGAUGUGUGCUGUUGCCUCUGAGGCCUCUGUUCUGUUCUAUUGGUCUAUAUCUCUGUUUUGAUACCAAUACCAUGCUGUUUUGAUUACUGUAGCCUUGUAGUAUAGUUUGAAGUCUGGUAGUGUGAUGCCUCCAGCUUUGUUCUUUUUGCUUAGAAUUGACUUGGCUAUGUGGGCUGUCUUUUGGUUCCAUAUGAAGUUUAAGGUGGUUUUUUCCAGUUCUGUGGAGAAGGUCAUUGGUAGGUUCAUGGGGAUAGCAUUGAAUCUGUAAGUUACUUUGGGCAGUAUGGCCAUUUUCACGAUAUUGAUUCUUCCUAACCAUGAGCAUGGACUGUUUCUCCAUUUGUUUGUGUCCUCUCUUAUUUCAUUGAGCUGUGGUUUGUGGUUCUCCUUGAAGAGGUCCUUUACGUUCCUUGUUAGUUGUAUUUCUAGAUAUUUUAUUCUCUUUGUAGCAAUUGUGAAUGGCAUUUCAUUCCUGAUUUGGCUCUAAGUCUGUUAUUGGUGUAUAGGAAUGCUUGUGAUUUUUGCACAUUGAUUUUGUAUCCUGAGACUUUGCUGAAGUUGCUUAUCAGUUUCAGGAGAUUUUGGGCUGAGACGGUGGGGUCUUGUAAAUAUACAGUUAUGUCCUCUGCAAAUUGAGACAAUUUGACUUCCUCCUUUUCUAUUUGAAUACCUUUGUUUCUUUUUCUUGCCUGAUGGCUCUGGCUAGAAUUUUCAAUACUAUAUUGAAUAGGAGUGGUGAGACAGGGCAUCCUUGUCUAGUGCCAGAUUUCAAAGGGAAUGUUUCCAGUUUUUGCCCAUUCAGUCAGUUUGUCAUAAAUUGCUUUUAUUAUUUUGAGAUACGUUCCAUCAAUACCAAGUUUAUUGAGGGUUUUUAGUAUAAAGGGCUGUUGAAUUUUGUCAAAGGUCUUCUCUGCAUCAGUUGAGAUAAUCAUGUGGUUUUUGUCUUUGGUUCUGUUUAUAUGGUGAAUUACGUUUAUAGACUUGCAUAUGUUGAACCAGCCUUGCAUCUCUGGGAUGAAGCCUAGUUGAUCAUGGUGGAUAAGCUUUCUGAUGUGCUGUUGCAAUUGGUUUCCCAGUAUUUGAUUGAAGAUUUUUGCAUCUAUGUUCAUCAUAGAAAUUGGCCUGAAGUUUUCUUUUCUUGCUGAGUCUCUGCCAGGUUUUGGUAUCAGGAUGAUGUUGGUCUCAUAAAAUGCUUUGGGAAGGAUUCCCUCUGUUUGGAUUGUUUGUAGUAGUUUCAGAAGGAAUGAUACCAGAUCCUCUCUGUAUGUCUGGUAGAAUUUGGCAGUGAACUCAUCUGGACCUGCACCUUUUUUGGGUGAUAGGCUCUUAAUUGCUGCCUCAACUUCUGCCCUUGUUAUUGGUCUGUUCAGGGUUUUGACUUCCUCCUGGUUUAGGCUUGGGAGGAUGCAAGUGUCCAGCAAUUUAUCUUUUUCUUCCAGGUUUACUAGUUUAUGUGCAUAGAGUUGUGAUACUCUCUGAUGUUGGGCUGUAUUUCUGUGGAAUCUGUGGUGAUAUCCCCUUUAUCGUUUUCUGUUGCAUUUCUUUGAUUAUUCUCUCUUUUCUUUUUUAUCAAUCUGGCUAGUGGUCUGUGUUUUGUUGAUCUUUUCCAAAAACCAGCUCCUGGAUUCAUUGAUUUUUUGAAGGGUUUUUUGUCUCUCUCUCUCCUUCAGUUCUGCUCUGAUCUUAGUUAUUUCUUGUCUUCUGCUAGGUUUUGAGUUUUCUUAAUCUUGCUCCUCUAGCUCUUUCAAUUUCCAUGAUAGGGUGUUGAUUUUAGAUCUCUCCUUCCUUCUCACAUGGGCAUUUAUUGCUAUAUAUUUUCCUCUAGACACUGCUUUAAAUGUGUCCCAGAGAUUCUGGUAUGUUGUGUCUUCGUUCUCAUUGGUUUUGAAGUACAUCUUUAUUCUGCCUUCAUUUCAUUGUUUAUCCAGUCAACAUUCAAGAGCCAGUUGUUCAGUUUCCAUCAAGCUGUGCAGUUCUGAGUUAGUUUCUGAAUUCUGAGUUUUAACUUGAUUGCACUGUGGUCUGAGAGACUGUUAUGAUUUCUGUUCUUUUGGAUUUGCUGAGGAGUGCUUUACUUUCAAUUAUGUGGUCAAUUUUAGAGUAGGUGUGAUGUAAUGCUGAGAAGAAUGUAUAUUCUGUGGAUUUGUAGUGGAGAGUUCUAUAAAUGGCUAUUGGGUUUGCUUGGUCCAGGUAUGAGUUCAAGUCCUGGAUAUCCUUGUUAAUUUUCUGUCUCAUUGAUCUGUCUACUAUUAACAAUGGGGUGUUAAAGUCUCCCACUAUUAAUGUGUGGGAGUCUAAGUCUCUUCGUAAGUCAUUAAGAACUUGCUUUAUGUAUCUGGGUGCUCGUGUUUGGGUGCAUAUAUAGUUAGGAUUGUUAGCUCUUCUUGUUGCAUUGUCCUUUGACCAUUAGGUAAUGUUCUUCUUUGUCUCUUUUGAUCUUUGUUGCUUUAAAGUCUAUUUUGUCAGAGAAAAAAAUUGCAACUCCUGCUUUCUUUUGCUCUCCAUUUGCUUGAUAAAUCUUCCUCCAUCCCUUUAUUUUGAGCCUUUGUGUCCUUGCAUGUGAGAUGGCUUUCCUGGAUACAGCACACUGAUGGGUUUUGGCUUUUUAUGAAAUUUGCUAGUCUGUGUCUUUUGAUUGGGGCAUUUAGCCCAUUUACAUUUAGGGUUAUAUUUUUAUGUGUGAAUUGAUACUGCCAUUUUGAUGCUAGCUGGCUGUUUUGCCCAUUAGUUGAUACAUUUUCUUCAUUGUGUCGAUGCUCUUUACCAUUUGGUAUGUUUUUGAAGUGGGUGAUACUGGUUGUUCCUUUCUAUGUUUAGUACUUCUUUCAGGAGCUCUUGUAAAGCAGUCUUGGUGGUGAUGAAAUCUCUGAGUACUUGCUUGUUUGUAAAGGAUUUAUUUUUCCUUCACUUAUGAAGUUUCAUUUGGCUGGAUAUGAAAUUCUGGGUUGAAAGUUCUUUUCUUUAAGAAUGUUGAUUAUUGGCCCCAACUCUCUUCUGGCUUGUAGGGUUUCUGCUGAGAGAUCUGCUGUGAGUCUGAUGGGCUUUUCUUUGUGGGUAACCCGACCUUUCUCUCGGGCUGCCCUUAGCAUUUUCUCCUUCAUUUCAACCCUGGGAAUCUGAGGAUUAUGUGCCUUGGUGUUGCUCUUCUUGCGGAAUAUCUUUGUCGUGUUCUCUGCAUUUCCUGAACUUGAAUAUUGGCCUCCCUUACUAGGUUGGGGAAAUUUUCCUGGAUAAUAUCCUGAAGAGUAUUUUCCCGCUUGGAUCGAUUCUCUCCAUCACAUUCAGGUACACCUAUCAAACGUAGAUUAGGUCUUUUCACAUAGUCCCAUAUUUCUUGGAAACUGUGUUCAUUCCAUUUUACCCUUUUUUCUCUAAUCUUGCCUUCUGGUUUUAUUUCACUGAGUUGAUCUUUGACCUCCGAUAUCCUUUCUUCUGCUUGGUCAGUUCAGCUGUUGAAACUUGUGUAUGAAGUAUGCACAAGAACUUGUGUAUGAAGCAUGCACAAGUUCUUGUGCUGUGUUUUUCAGCUCCAUCAAUUCACUUAUAUUCCUCUCUAAGUUGUUUAUUCUUGUUAGCAUUUCGUCAAAUCUUUUUUCAAGUUUCUUAGUUUCUUUGCAUUGGGUUUGAACAUGUUCUUUUAGCUCAGUGAAGUUUCUUAUUACCCACCUUCUGAAGCCUGUUUCUGUCAAUUCAUCACACUCGUUCUCCAUCCAGCUUUGUUCCCUUGCUGGUGAGGAGUUGUGAUCCCUUGUAGGAGUAGAGGCAUUCUAGUUUCAGGUGUUUUCAUCCUUUUUGUGUGCUGUUUUCUUCCCAUCUUUGUGGAUUUAUCCACCUGUCCUCUUUGUAGUUGUUGGCUUUCAGAUUGGUCUCUGAGUGGACGUCCAGUUAGUUGAUGAUGAAGUUAUUUCUUUCUGUUUCUUAGUUUUCCUUCUAACAUUCAGGCCCCUCUGCUGUAGGACUGCUGAGGUCCACUCCAGGCCCUGCUUGCCUGGAGAUCACCUGCAGUAGCUGCAGAACCAUAAGGGUUGCUGCCAGUUUCUUCCUCUGCUAUCUUUGUCCCAGAAGGAUACCCGCUAGAUGUCAUUCUGAGCUCUCCUUUAUAAGGUGGCUCUUUGAAUAUAUGGGGUCUGGAAGCUGCUUGAGGAGACUGUCUGUCCUUUAUAGGAGCUCAAGUGCUAAGUUGUGAGCUCCGUUUUUCAUUCAGAGCUGCUGGCCAGGUACUUUUAGGUCGCCUGCAGCAGAAUUCAUAAAUCCCUUUUUGUUUUUUCCCCAGUUUCUCUGUCCUCGAGAGUUAGGACUUUAUAAGUUUCUGUCAUGCUGCUGUCUUUCUUCAGGGCUGCCCUGCCCAGUGAGGUGGCAGCAUAGUCACUGCCUGCCUGCAGAGGCUUUGCUGAGCUCCGUCCAGGUGCUGUGUGAACUUCCCUGCAGUCCUUUUUAUAUGGGUAUAGUUAGAGCUGCCUCAGCAAUGGCGGCCCACCUCUGUAAUGGCAGACUCUCUCUGUAAUGGCGGGCUGCCUUGGCAAUGGUGGCCCACCUCUGUGAUGGCAGACUACCUCUGUAGUGGUGGACUGCCUCGGUAAUGGCGGACGCUCCUCCCCCACAGAGCUGGACCAUCCUGGCUUCAGCUGUGGUUGCUGUGAAUCUCUCAGUCCAGAGCAUUUCAAAUUGCUGUUUUGUGGGGUUGGGACCAGCCAAGUGUGAUCACCUGGCUCCCUGCCUCAGAGCCCUUUUUUUUUUUUUCAGUUGAACUUGAGACUCUGUCUCCCAGGUGUUUGUAGCCUGUUGAAAAGGCACCAGGAUCUGUGUGAUUUCCUGUGUGGCGAGCCACUGAGCUGGCGGAAACAGCUGUGCUGAGAUUCAUGGUGCUUUUUUGUCUGGGAAUCUCCUGGCCUGGCUCCUUGUUUCAUUCCCUUUUAUCAGUUGAAUCGGCAACUCUGUCUCUCAGGAGCUCCAAUCGCCAGCUAAAACGGUGCCUGGACCCGUGUUUUUUGUGCAAAGACCUGUUGCACUAGCCAAAACAGCCACGCUGGUGACCUGUGGGGCUCCUCCACCUGGGAAUCUCCUGGUCUGUGGGCAAUAAAAAUCCAUCUGGAAAUGUGGUGACCACUCACCCUCUGUGCUUUUGCUGGGAGCUGCAAUCCUGAGUUGCUUCUAAUCUGCCAUCUUCAACAUAUUAAUUUCUAGCACUUUGAAAUCCAUGCUCCUAUCUGUCAGUCAGAAUACCCAUCUUCUAUUUUUUCUAUUUCUCUGGUUAACUAACUUAAUAUGAAUUAGAUCAAUGUUUCUUUUAUGUUUGAGCACAUUUCCAAUGCUAGUAUUCUUGCUUUGAGCCUGGAUGGCUUUUGCAAUGGGUCAAUCUAAUCCAUUACUUGGGAUUUUUUUUUUUAAUACUAUCACCAUUAUAUGUUGACCUCAUUUCAUUGAUCCUAGAAGGAAUCCUUUUGUAGUUUCCUGACUAUACAACCUUACAACUAUACAACCUGACUACACAACUUUACUUUAAAUAAAACUGAAUGAUUGCAAAAAAUUUUACCCCAGAGUCUUUUUAUUAGGGAUUCCUGCUACCAUAUUAACAUAUAAAACAGUCUGGAUGUUGACAUAGAAAUGCAAAUUUCACUAUACAAAGAUAAGGCUCCAAUCACAGUAACAUGGCCCCCAUAUCUCUAGUAUUUCAAUGAAAUGAACUCAUUGUGAAUUCACCCCGAGUUUUGUUUAUAAAUAUUAGACAAACCACAAAAUAAAUUCCAAAUACAUAACAUUUUACAAUACUGUUCAAGCACAGACAAAUACAUACUUUACCUACAUUGUUUUCAUGAUCCAACUUGCAUUAGCACUAAAGGCAAGAACGUGUGUGUAUAUGUAUUUGCCAUAUAAGAGAGUGUGUGUGUGUGUGUGUGUAUAUAUAGAUCCACAAAUGAACAUACAGUGGCAUUCAUGGAACAUUUAACCCUUUCGGGCCAUGGGUAUUAUCCACCACAGUAUCUGGGAGGGAAAAGAAACAAUAAUAUGUCACAAAUUCCUCAAUUGGGACAAAAUAAGCACAAUUAUUUAUGAAAAGCAUGUAUGUUGUGUCUAUUCAAAGACACAUAUAUACAGAUUCAUAUAUAAACACACACACCAAUAAUAUGGAAUAUACAUAUACUCACACACUUGCACACUUGCUUUAAACUCUGUAUCUCACUAUAUUAUAUACUGUCCAUCUCUGGAAGAAGUCUUUUCCUCAUUCGAUUCAGGCAACUGGUGACUAUCUUCUAAUACAACUUAAAUGUAUAUUUCUAAAAGACUAAUUAUAUGCCAAGCAAAUGGCAUUUCAAGAUUCCAGUUUAACUUUUGAUGGCUGUUUAAAUUCAGCAGACCCUAUUCUGUCAGCUUCUUCACUUAAAAACAUUUCUAUUCAACAGUGAAGUUUCCACCUAAGAGAAAAGAGAUGUUAGCUGGAAAUGUUAAAAUAAUAUAUUUAUCACUACUUAAUAUAAAUCUGUAUGUUUGGAUUACAUGUGAUAUUUAUCCUAUCAUAUUUUUCAAGGAUUUUACAAUGGAAAAUAUAUUAUUUCCAUAAUUUAAAAAAUACUAUAUAUUUUUUUGAAAGCGUGAGGGCCAGAUGAUUUGUCAUAGUUAGAACGUCAGAGAAAUUUAUAUGAUACAUGAUCAGAAGGGGACUAAUUUUGUGCAGACUACACUGAAGCUAGAAAGCCUUAUGUUAGAAAGGCUGACUUAGAAGUCUUAUGAGAAAAGAACAAGAAAAAUACAAAUUUCAGUUUCAAAGCUAGCCAUCUGCAAGUUUCCAAAAUAAAUUGUUGAGGCUUCCAGUCACAGAAAAUAUAUUUCUACAUCAGUAUCAAAUUUCAGGUAGUAAACAAUCUUUACUGAAAAGCAAAAUAAAUCACUGAAAGCACACGAGAAAGGAAACCCCUCAAACUUAAUGGCAAAUAUAUAUUGUCAUUUGGUCAACUUCAGGCUUCAUGAACUGACUUUCAAAACUUAUUUCCAAAAUUAAAUGUCCAAUGAAGCAUUCAGAGCUCCACUGAGUGAGUGGAACUGGAAUGCCCAAUUUAGAAAUCAUGCUAAUGAUAAGGUUGGAGGUCAUUAGUUAGAUAACCAGUGGGCCCUGUAUCUUUGUACAUUAAGGCAGUGGAAUGUUUUCAAUCCAUGGAGAAGCUGUAUGCUCCAUGCCAUAAGCUCUAGACUCUUUUCUUUCUCCCACAUAACACAGUGUCAGUGGGUAGUCUGCAUGAGAAGGCAUCAGUACCUUGCUGAUGGUGCAAUGCUCUAACACCUUUUUUGAUACCAUUAAAUCCUUUGAUUAAAUCCUUUCCAUCAUGGAUUUAAUGGUAUCAAGGAAGGUACUAGAGUAUUGGUCCCCUCUACAGUCUGGUCAGAGAGUCAUGUCACUACUUUACCCAGACUGAAUUGGUAUAUCAUCUGAUGAGCCCUCUCCAGUUUCUCUAUGGAAGUCAGAUCUUAAAACAAGUGGGAAAGGAAAG